rnacentral:rRNA from 1 species
CGGUGACAAACCGGAGGAAGGUGGGGAUGACGUCAAGUCAUCAUGGCCCUUACGAGUAGGGCUACACACGUGCUACAAUGGCCGGUACAGAGGGCUGCAAACUCGCGAGAGCAAGCUAAUCUCACAAAACCGGUCGUAGUCCGGAUCGCAGUCUGCAACUCGACUGCGUGAAGUCGGAAUCGCUAGUAAUCGUGAAUCAGAAUGUCACGGUGAAUACGUUCCCGGGCCUU